AGUGAACGCUGGCGGUAGGCCUAACACAUGCAAGUCGAACGGCAGCACAGUAAGAGCUUGCUCUUACGGGUGGCGAGUGGCGGACGGGUGAGGAAUACAUCGGAAUCUACUUUUUCGUGGGGGAUAACGUAGGGAAACUUACGCUAAUACCGCAUACGACCUACGGGUGAAAGCAGGGGAUCUUCGGACCUUGCGCGAUUGAAUAAGCCGAUGUCGGAUUAGCUAGUUGGCGGGGUAAAGGCCCACCAAGGCGACGAUCCGUAGCUGGUCUGAGAGGAUGAUCGGCCACACUGGAACUGAGACACGGUCCAGACUCCUACGGGAGGCAGCAGUGGGGAAUAUUGGACAAUGGGCGCAAGCCUGAUCCAGCCAUACCGCGUGGGUGAAGAAGGCCUUCGGGUUGUAAAGCCCUUUUGUUGGGAAAGAAAAGCAGCAGGUUAAUACCCCGCUGUUCUGACGGUACCCAAAGAAUAAGCACCGGCUAACUUCGUG
rnacentral:rRNA from 1 species